CAGAGUUGCAAAACUCCCAAACCCUAUGUUUAUCUACCUGUUUCGUUGCUUCGGCAGGCGGCCCCUGGGAGGGGCCCUGGCCUCGUGAGAGGUGGUCUGCCGGAGGUCCCAAAACUCUUGUUAAUUACUGUUCUGUCUGAGUAAAAAACCAUAAUAAGUUA
rnacentral:misc_RNA from 1 species